AUGCUCUGGAUCCCUGGAUCCAGUGGGGAUGUUGUGAUGACCCAGACUCCACUCUCCCUGCUCAUCACCCCUGGAGAGCCGGUCUCCAUCUCCUGCAGGGCUAGUCAGAGCCUUCUAUCCGAUGAUGGAAACACCUAUUUGGAAUGGUUUCUUCAGAAGCCAGGCCAGUCUCCUCGGCUAUUGUUCUAUAGGCCUUCCAAACGUGCCUCUGGGGUCCCUGACAGGUUCAGUGGCAGUGGGUCAGGGACAGAUUUCACACUCAAAAUCAGUAGGGUGGAGGCUGAGGAUGUUGGGAUUUAUUACUGCGUGCAAGCUACACAUUCACCACCCACAGUGAUACAGCCCUGA